AAAGACUUAAGUUAGUAAGACUGUGAGCCUUCAAAGCUCAAAGAACAGGUUAAAUCCCUGUAGUCUUUG
rnacentral:tRNA from 1 species